UAGCACUGAUUCAUAUUUGUAGCAUUGAGCUGAUUCCUCUGCAAGUAGAUCAGUCAGAAUCAACCAAGUUGAAUUUUAUGAAACAUGUUGGACAAGUGCAGGAACAAAAAACAGGAAGAAGUCAUUAAAUUUGGUGAAGAUGAACUGACCUAGUUGCUCUUUCGGCAGUUGUGGUGGUUGCAUUUCUGUGGUUGAAGAGGAAGUCUCAGAGAGACCAGGCGGAUGAACAUCAACCUGUAACAAACUAGAAUGCAGAGACUCUGCAGAGCGUUCAGAGGCCGAGAACGUGACCGAGGUCAGAGGAGAGCUGGGGACCAAUGUCACUCUAACCUGCUCCAAUCAGACAGCAGACACAUACUGGUACAUGGAGAUCCACAGUCAGUUCAGAGCAUGUAUCGGCCGCAGUUUUUCUUCAGCAGGCUCUACCCUCUACUCUCCUGGUUUUGAAACCAAAUUUUCAAUCCUGGGAAACAAACUCGUGAUUAAAAACUUCACAGCAGAGGACUGCAGGCUUUACUUCUGUGGCAUCAAGAGAGGAGGCAGCAAUCAGUUUGUGGAAACUUUCCAUCUCAUUUCAGAUGUAACUCAAAAACCUGUUGCACUCACUGACAGCAACCAGCAGAGUGAGCUUGUCAUCCUGAGCUCUCUGAGCCUGAACGCGGCACUCAUUCUUGUGGUGAUCUGUCUGAGUUGUGUAUCGCUGUCUCUGAAGAGGAGAAUCAGCAAGUAUCAGGCAAACCUCCCUCCAGCUGGGACCAGUGAGAGGCUGGAGACUCCACAGAAGGAGAUCCAGCCCCCGCCUCGAUCUGCUGCUCCUCCUUCAGAGGGCAUUUACUACAAACUUCACCUGCCUUGCUUCACAUUGCCUCAAAGCUGACAAACACACCUGGACAGGUGGAUGAUACCUGCUGGAUUCACAUUUCACAACUUUUUGCCAAACCUUUUUUAAAGUGGUUCAGAACUUCAGAUGGUUAAACCAGAACCAAAACCUGCUGUAAAAACCUGUAAAUAUGUGUACACUUCACUUUGAUUCAUCACAUUAUAGUGAACACAGCGUGAACGUUACAAUGAAACAUGUUGGACAAAAAAAGGCAAAGUCUGAAAAUUUUGAGAUUUAAAAAAAAUAAAAACAAUAUAAAUUUUAAAACUACCAGAGACUAAAAAUUAAAUUUAAAAAGUCAUAAAUAGAUCAAGUAGAGUGUGAGAUGUAGUUUUUCUUUCUUUUUUUUUUUUUCAAUUCAAGACCGUCUGACAUUGGAGUGAAUUUAGAAGAUCAUUGCGUUGUGUUAACAAACACCUGAACGCUCCAGACCUGCAACCUGCCAACAACGCUGCUUUUAUAGAGCUGCUCAUACUCACUGACGAUCAGUUACUGAUGUGUACCUGGCUGCUACAAAUCCUGUUUAUUCCUAUGGAAACAGUAAGGCUGGGCUUAACAGUUGGUUUAGCUUUUGUUAAAUAAAUAAUGAGAC
ensembl:lncRNA